ACUUGCCCGACGUGGUGUGCGGACCGGCUCGACACCAGCUUGCGAAGGAACUAUAAACAACGCCCGAUUUAGCGUAUACUGUACUUAAGCAGCUGCAGAAAGCCACCUUCCGGCUAAGGAGCUAAAGCCAAUGAGAUCACACGCAAAGAAAUGGUGCAGCGUCGCUGACGACUGGGGAGUAAACGGCAUCUUCAGGACGACCGCUUCAGGAUGGCCCUCUAUCGGCCCGGUGUCCAGCAGGAAGGCGCCUGCAGGGUGGCCGAAAGAGGCCGACACGUGGGGGUCCACGUGGCCACAGUUUCUGGCAGCGGCCGUAGUGAACCUGAACACAUUCGGCCUGGGGACGCACGUGGCGUGGACGGCGAUGGCGCUGCCGCAGCUGAUGUCUGCAGAGAGCGGCCUCCGCGCCCAGCCGCUGACGUCGGAC